rnacentral:tRNA from 2 species
UGCAGCGUAGCUUAACGGUAAAGUCCCAAGUUCAUACCUUGGUUAAUGCGGGUUCAAAUCCCGACGCUGCCACCA